rnacentral:rRNA from 1 species
GACGAACGCUGGCGGCGUGCUUAACACAUGCAAGUCAAACGGAAAGGCCCUGCUUGCAGGGUACUCGAGUGGCGAACGGGUGAGUAACACGUGGGUGAUCUGCCCUGCACUUCGGGAUAAGCCUGGGAAACUGGGUCUAAUACCGGAUAGGAGCCAUUUUUAGUGUGAUGGUUGGAAAGUUUUUUCGGUGUAGGAUGAGCUCGCGGCCUAUCAGCUUGUUGGUGGGGUAAUGGCCUACCAAGGCGGCGACGGGUAGCCGGCCUGAGAGGGUGGACGGCCACAUUGGGACUGAGAUACGGCCCAGACUCCUACGGGAGGCAGCAGUGGGGAAUAUUGCACAAGGGGCGCAAGCCGGAUGCAGCGACGCCGCGUGGGGGAGGACGGCCUUCGGGUUGUAAACUCCUUUCGCUAGGGACGAAGCUUUUUGUGACGGUACCUAGAUAAGAAGCACCGGCUAACUACGUG